rnacentral:lncRNA from 1 species
UGAAGGUUUGUAAGAAAGAUUUCCCAAUGAAAGGAGACUUCUAGAGCUAGGAAAAGAUACCUUUUUUUAAUAGAGCAGGAAGUAUUUUUUCCUCAUUUGAAAAUAAAGAAAGGAACAUAUAUUGUGGAUGCCUACACUUGCAACAUUAAGGAUUUCUUCACUUGAAAUGGAAAACUAACUUCCUUAUUUACCAGCCCUUUGCUAAGAGGUUUCAAAGUUUUUAUCUCUUUAUUGGAGUUCUACAUCCAGAGCAGCUUUAAAAAAAUCCAUGUUGGCAUGGAGCAAGAUUCGUGCCUGACUCUUGGUGACCCAUUUGGGAUUUUCUUGGCAAAGAUACUGGCAUGGUUUGCCAUUUCCUUCUCCAGCUCAUUUUGCAGAUGA